rnacentral:rRNA from 1 species
CUGCUGCCUUCCGUAGGAGUCUGGGCCGUGUCUCAGUCCCAAUGUGGCCGUUCAACCUCUCAGUCCGGCUACUGAUCGUCGCUUUGGUGGGCCGUUACCCCGCCAACUGGCUAAUCAGACGCGAGCUCAUCUUUGGACGAUAAAUCUUUGGCAGCAAAAUCAUGCGGUCCUGCUGCAUUAUGCGGUAUUAGCAGUCGUUUCCGGCUGUUAUCCCCCAUCCAAAGGCAGAUUGCUCACG